AUUGAACGCUGGCGGCAUGCCUUACACAUGCAAGUCGAACGGCAGCGGACCUUCGGGUGCCGGCGAGUGGCGAACGGGUGAGUAAUGCAUCGGAACGUGCCCAAUCGUGGGGGAUAACGUAGCGAAAGUUACGCUAAUACCGCAUAAGCCCUGAGGGGGGAAAGUGGGGGACCGCAAGGCCUCACGCGAAUGGAGCGGCCGAUGUCAGAUUAGCUAGUUGGUGGGGUAAAGCCCACCAAGGCGACGAUCUGUAGCGGGUCUGAGAGGAUGAUCCGCCACACUGGGACUGAGACACGGCCCAGACUCCUACGGGAGGCAGCAGUGGGGAAUUUUGGACAAUGGGCGCAAGCCUGAUCCAGCCAUGCCGCGUGCGGGACGAAGGCCUCGG
rnacentral:rRNA from 1 species